rnacentral:lncRNA from 1 species
GCCUCAGCCUCCCGAGUAGCUGGGAUUACAGGUGUGACCACAGGCAUGUGCCACCGUGCCCGGCUAAUUUUUGGUAUUUUUUUUUGCAGAGACUGGGUUUCCCCAUGUUGCCCAGGCUGGUCUUGAACUACUGGCCUCAAGCAAUCCUCUUGCCUUGACCUCCCAAAGUGCUGGGAUUACAGGCGUGGGCCCCUGCACCCAGACAUCUCCUCUCCUGAUUUUUCUCCUCCCUCACUAGCUACUCUGAGCCUCCUUUCUCUUCUCUCAAUCUCUAUACAUUGGGGAGCCCCAUGGGCUGGGUCACAGGCUUCUUCUUUCCUCAUCUGUGCUCUCUCCUCAGAUAAGAUCAACAAAUUCCACGGCUCUGAAUAUCAUGCAUGCAUCAAAGACUCUCAAAAUCAUAUCUCAGGCCACAACUGCUUCCCCGAACUCAAGUGGUAGAAACUAUCUGCCGACUUAACAUCUCCACUUGGUUCCAACAGGCCCCUCAAAUUCAACACAUUCAAAACAGAAGUUUCUAUUUCCUUUCUGCCAAACCCACUCCUGUCCCAGAACACAUCUCAGGAAACAGCGCCAUCAGAAACUCUUAUUUCAUCUGUUCUCUUUACCACUUGACACUGACUCCAUUAAUCAUCCUGUCAACCCACUAGCAUACCUCAGAGCUGGUCGCUUCUCCCAACUCAUAUUUGCAAGACUGCUCGCAAUCCCGUCACCCCCAUCCCAUAACCAAUUCUCAAGCAACCAGAUAGAUUCUUCUAAAAUAUAAAUCAGAUCUUCAUCCUCCUCUGCUUAAACCCUCCAAUGGUUUCCCAUCACACUUAGAAUAAAAUCCAACUUCUAACCAUGACCAAAAAGUCUUACAAGUUCUCAUCUUUGUCCACUUCUCUGACUUCAUCUCCAAGCACUCUCCCCUCACUGCUCGUGACUCUGCCACACCAGCCUUCCUUCUGUUCCCAAAUACCUCAUGCUUGCUUCCUUGUUGGCACCUGGCUGAAAGUCUUCCCUCCAGAUGGAUCUCCGCAUGACCAGCUCCUUCUCAUUCAUAUCUUAGCAUAAAUGUCAUCUUCUCAGAGAGCUCUCCCUGACUACCAAUCCAAGGUAACCCCCCUCCCCUCGUUGCCACUGCCGUAUCGCCUUGUGUACAUUUAUCACAGCUACACGAGACAGUUUGUGUGUCUCAUCUUCCACUGUAUUCUCAAAACCAACAAGUGUGAGCACAUGAAAAGCCCUAAUGAUAUAUUUUGUAAAUAAAUGAACACUAAUUCUAAGCACUGAAUAAGCACCUUCCUAUGUCAGGCAACUUACUAGUCAGUGUGGCCCAAACCUCUCUGAAGAUAAGAAUCACCUGAAGGGCCGGGCGUGGUGGCUCAAGCCUGUAAUCCCA